rnacentral:lncRNA from 1 species
AAAAGGGGCCUCGGGGCGUGACAGGGGUCUCACAGAUAUAAUCAGGCUAAAACUCUUAAUCCGGCUAUAGCAUUUUAGCGAUGGCUAGGCCCAAAAGGUUAAGAGAGUUAAGUGUGUUAGGGCUGGAGUAGUCCUAAAAUGGGUGACCCUCUAGAAAAUUGGAGCGUCACACAAGUCACUUAAAGCGUACAAACAAAGUGUCCAUGGAUCUCGAUUGUCACUCGACCCAACGAGCCUCUACUUCGACCAUGACUCGGCUCAACCCAACCUCACGCCAUUUUAAAUGUGACUCGACCCAACCUAGCCUCCCACCACAGAGCAAGAUGCUGAUCCAUUUAAUGCAACAAUCCUCCUUCCAGUACCCAUAUAAAUUCACAGCAUGCGGGAAUCGAACCUACGACCUCUUGUUCUAAUAUCACUUGUCGGAUUGUUGAUACUAAUCAUUAAUCCCAAAAGCUCGAGCUUAAUUUUUUGUCAGUGGCUCAUCCAACCGUGAUAAUAUCCCACAUAUAAUAUUUUCUCUACCAAUCAUCUCAUCAUAUCAUUUAUUCUCUAAUAUUAGUUUUAUCCUUUCUCACGCGUAGUACUCACCACCUAUUAUGUAAUAUACCGAAUCUCCGAAUCGUAAUGCUAAUUUUGAUCAAAUUGAUCAAAGUAAGCUAUGAGGGUGAUGAGCGAGGUUUUCGAGUUGCCUUGAAGGCGUUGGGAUGGUUGGAAGUGAGUUUCAGGAGUGUUUGGAUGUU